CGGAAUGGUAACAUUGUUCCUCUUACUUUUGUUGACUGGAACAGUGUGUCUGAUGAUAUUAUUGAUGCUAUCUGGAAGGAUGUGAAGGACAAUUUGAAUAUAUGUCCAGAGGAGUACAAGCCAAUCUACAUGAAAAACUGCAACAGCAUAUGGAUGGAUCACAAGAACAAGCUUAAGGCAAAGUAUUUCAAGCCUAGAAGUUCUGAUCCUAAUCUGAAGGAUGAUGUUCCUAUGCACAUUGUGCCAUGCUAGUGGGAAGAACUUGUGGAGUAUUGGCGUACUUCCGAUGCUGAGAAAAUUGCAAGUAGGAACGCUAAAAAUCGGCGAGCUCACGGCAUAGCUCAUACCACAG